UACAGAGGGGGCAAGCGUUGUUCGGAAUUACUGGGCGUAAAGGGCGCGUAGGCGGCCUUCUACGUCGAACGUGAAAUCCCUGGGCUCAACCCAGGAACUGCGUCCGAUACUGGAAGGCUUGAAUCCGGGAGAGGGAUGCGGAAUUCCAGGUGUAGCGGUGAAAUGCGUAGAUAUGCGGAGGAACACCGAUGGCGAAGGCAAUCCCCUGGGCCUGCACUGACGCUCAUGCACGAAAGCGUGGGGAGCAAACAGG
rnacentral:rRNA from 1 species